GGCGAGCAUGACGACUUUUUAAUAGAGACCGACGUGGCCUUGCAAGAAGAGCAAGAUCACGUCUUCAGGUGUUUGGACUCAGCUGAGGUAUAACAUCAGAGAAGAGUGUGGGCUCUGCACCCUAGAACCAGGAGCUGAUAGAGAAGAAUGAUGUAUAAUGUGAAGUAUCCUAGACAGGUUACUGGAAUAAGAGUGAAGAGAUCCCCGUCAUGGGGACACUUUAGGUAAGUCACUAACCAGAGAGCAAAGCAUAUGCUCAAGUAUUUGUAUAGACAGUAUUGUCUAUACAAAAGAAUAAUACCCAAUCCUCCCAACCACUAGAAUACUUUGGAUUUUAAAUGUGAUCCCAUGUGUGAAAGCAAUCUGUGGUUUUAGGUGGAAGGGAAGGACCAGUGCACUUUAGAGUAAUUACAUCAACAAAGACAUUUCAGAUAUCCCAGAACCCUGCGUGGAGGCAUUAAGUUAGUAGUAAUCAAAUGCAAGCAGUUUAGGUCAGGCUUUUUCCAAGUAUGGUCUACGGACCACUUCAUCAAAAUUGUCAGCCAGUGCUUGCUAAAAUUGCAAAUUCCUGGACUCACCCUAGGUCUGCCAAAUCAAAGCCAGGUAGAUGGGGUAGGAGGUAUCUACAUUUUGAAUAAUUUCUCCAAUUGUUUCUGGUACUCAUCCAAGUUUGAGAAGCACUGCUGAGGAUUUGCAAAGAGGUUUUCUAAAAAUUUUGAAUCCUUUGAUGUUAAUUUCAUUGUCAGUUGCUCCUGCUAUGGAACUUUUAAUAUCUGUGUCUUCUCUGGUUUGUCAAAUAGUUUUAAAAAAAAUUCCUUCAAUUAAGUAACAUUUAUUCGGUGAUUCUUAUGUGAAGCUCUGAACUAGGUACUGGGAAAAUGACACAGAAAACAAGAUAGGCAGGGUCCCUGGAGCUAUCACUCUAGCUUGGGAAAACUGGCAAUAAGCAGGUAAACGAAUCAAUAACCCACACAAUUUCAUAAGGGGAUUUGUGCUUUAAAGAAAAUAAACAUGUAAAUAGAGUAGAAAAUGACCAGAAGAGAGAUUAUCAUAGAUGGCUUCAUGAAGUUCUUUCUCAGGAAGUAAUAUUUAAGCCGAGUUCUGGAUGACAAGAAGAUGCCAGACAUGGACAGGCCAUUUUGUCAGUGUCCCUGUGCUGUGAGUGGGCACCAGUUGAUCCAGCAGCAGAGAAAAAGCUGUAGUGACUGGACCCUGGCAGACAAUGUGCCGACAGGUGAGAGAUGAGGUCCAAAUAGCAAACAGGAGCCACAUGGUUUGGGCCAUGUAAGGAGUUUGGAUUUUAUAUUGAGUGUGGAGGGUUAGAAUAUGGGAAUGGUAUGAUCUGAUUCUUGUUGUCAGAGGUGACUGUGGCUUCUGUGUGGAGAAUGGACUGGAGAAGGACAAGAUAGCAUGUGAUGAUAGCCAUUAGGAGAAUAUUGCAGAAGUCCAGGGGAGGGUGGAUGGUGUUGGAGCUACAGCCAUGUGUGGAGGGUGGAGCAGGACAGGGACGUGCUUGGAGGUAGCGCAGGUGGGACCUGCAGUGGCUGUGCGUGUGGGGUGUGCAAGGACAAGGAAGAGUCAAGGGUGACUCCUUGGCUUUUUGUCAGCCAUGUGGAGAAAUAUUUUUCUGAGAUCAAUUGUUUCCAGUGCUUUUGAGACAUUCUCUGAAUAGUUAGGUCAUCCAACAGUGGUUAUAGUGAAAGUUAGUGAUCUUUAAAAAUGCAUCAGUUGAUGAAUAGAAUUCAAUUGUAAGUGGAAAUGGGGGAAGGGCACACUUGUAGCCCUGACUUGGGUAAGGCAAAUGCAUUACAUGUAACCAAAAUGUUUGUACCCUCAUAAUAUCCUCAAUUUAAAAAAAAGAAAAAUCAUUCUUUUGUAGAAAUACAAUGUUCUAGAAAGAAUCUUUAAGGAAAUUUAAGAAAAUGAUGCAUUUACCACUUUUAAAAGAAAUAAAACCACAGUUUUUAAUACCUAAAAAAGAAUUCAAUUGCAAGAGCAUUAAACUUUAUAUAAAGAUAGAUGCAAACUAUAAAACUAUCAAAACUGUAAACAUUUCAACUUGUAAGUAUUUGAAAAAAACACCUGGCAUUUAUAGGCUCUUACUGUGUGCCUAGCACUGUUCUAAGGAUUUUCAUGCAUGAAUUCAAGUAAUUUCAAAAGAACAACUCAUGAGACAGGAAAAAUUGUUUUCUUCAUUUUAAAGAAGAGGAAAUAAGGCAGAAAGAGGCUCUUUCACUCUUCCAAGACCACAGUCAGAUAUCUCAAUGUCUCUGCAGUAGAAUUUUUAAUAUAAUGUGAUUCCUGACCAUUCAUUUAUCCUGAAUAUUAACACAAAGUGAUAUUUUUAAACUUACUUUUCUUCUGUGGUAAGUACUGUAUAAUUCUGAUUUUACAAAUGAGGCAUUUGAGUGACUGUAAGGUGAUGUAAAAGUGUUGAAAAUCACACAGUUUUUAAGAACUAAGGGCUUUUCCCUAGCCUGUCUCCAGAACCCCCACUUAUAACCAGUAAAAUUAGGAAGAAGAAAAAGACUUUUGUUGAACUAUGUCAGCCCAUAGUGGCUUGAUAUUAGGUGGGGCCAUAUCUCACUCUGUGAAAACUAUGCUUCAGUAGCCAUUCUGCCAUGUAUCAGAAAAUAUUUAUUUAAGAAAAAAAAAAGGUAGUAAUUAUAAAAACAAAAGGCAUCGUGUGUAUAUUUCACAAUAUCUUUAUCUUCUAUGGAAAUAUGGGUAUUUUCCAGUUUUUCAUUUAUUAUGAAUACUGAUGGUAUGAACAAUCUUGUACAUACCUUUUAAAUGAACAUUUAUUUUCAUUUCUUGAACAUGUACCCAAGAGUGUCAUUUUUGAGUGAUAGGGUAUAUUUCAGCUCAGUUGAUAUUGCCAUGAAGUUUUCCAAAGUGGUUGUGCCAAUCCAUAUUCCCACCAGCAGUGUGUGAGAGUUCCACUUGCUCCAUCCACAUCCUUGCCAACACUGGGAAUUUUUCUUCUUUGCCAUGUUGGUGUUCUAGUGGUUGUGUGGUGAUAUGUCAUUUGGUUUUACUUUUAAUUUUUCUGAAAUGUGAAGUUUGUUUUAUCUAAAGAAGACCCCUCUUUUUCUAGGCUUUCAAUUUAUUUGUUUAAGAAACUGGAUGUUUUGUCCUAUGUAGUUUGCAUUCUGGAUGUUGCUGACUGUAUCCUUAUUGUAUUCCUCUGCCCCUAUUAUUUCUUUUAAAUUGGUAAGUAGCUUUAGAGGCUUAAUUAGAUUUUGGUUUUUUGGCAUAUGUAUCUCAGAUGUGGUAGUGUUUGUUUCUAUAGUGUUAUACCAGGAGGCUCAUGGGAUCUGCUUGUCUCUCCUGUGAUGUUGAGAUUGAUUACUGCAUUCAAGUGCUGUCAGCCUGAUCCAUGCAUUAUAAAAUUUGCCAUCUGCUUUUCAUCUUGUGUUUUUUUGCAGCCUCUAAAGAUCACUGCCUGGAUUUGUAUUUCAUUAAAGGUUGCAGAGGGUGAUGUUCUAAUUCUAUAAUUUCUUCUACAGUUUUAAGCUGAAAUUCUUUUACAAAAGAAACUUCCUUUCAUCAACUAUUAGGUUAUUCUGCAGUGUGGUACACAUAAGAAGGAUAGGAUGAAUGUUUAAUUCUUUUGCCCUAUUUCAACUUUUUCAGAACAAUGAAUUGUUUUCCUAGAGUCUCCAAAAGUGAGCAGUGAGUUGAUUUUGUUUGCUUUUUAGGAUGUCACCUUGAGUUCACUGAUGCUUAUAUUUUUGUGUAUUUUAAUCCAUUUCAGUCAUUGGUAUUUUUUAUUUUCAAAUUGUUUCAUCUUUGGCCUCUGGGAUCCACUUCAGGUUGGCUCUGAGUCUUUUUGACAUGCACUCUUGUAUAAUACUUUGGUUCAGACUUAUCUGGUACAAUCCUAAUCUCAGAGCUGGAAUUAGCCAUUUCUCCAAGGGAGGCUGUUUUUUUUUUAGUGGUAAAUGUUUGUAGAGGAUCCAGUCUGGGAUCUAGAGUUGCUCAUUGCUACUGGGUUGGUCUUUGUGUCUUGCUCUUUUCAGUACAUGGAACCAGUAAAUAUGUAUUAUAUUUUUAAGAGAAGGUACAUCAUUGGCUUCCAUCCUGGGCUGCUUCUCCAUCCCAUUACAGGUAUUAUAAAAAGUGGCACAUUCUACACAAAUGCUGUCCAAUAAAAAUUUAUGCAAAAAUAAAAAUGUUCUGUCUCUGUACUAUCCAACAUGGUAGCCACUAGCCACAAAUGGCUGUUGAGCACCUAAAAUAUGGCUAGUGUGACUGACUAACUAAAUUUUAAAUUUUAUUUAGAUUAAAUUAAAUUUAAUUUAAAUAGCCACUUAUGUCUAGUGUACCUACUAUAUUGGACAGCCACAGCUAACACUUUUUCUCUGAAUAUCAUUUUUCGCUUAACAACGUAUCCUAGAGAUCACUCAUAGCAGUAAAGAGAUGGAGUCCUCAUUGCUUUUAUAGCUGCAUAGUACUCUAGGAUGUAGAAGUACCUUAGAUUACUCAGCCAACAUUUGUCUUAUUUCUAGUUUUGUGUUAUUGAACACAAACAAAACAGAUUGUUCUGCCAGGACUAGCCUGUGCUUAAGCUUUUUUGUAUUUUUGAAUUGUUUCUUUGGGAUAAAUUCUUAAAAGAGAGAUCACUGAUUCCAAGAGUAAAUACCUAUCUAAUUUUGCUAGAUAGUAUAAUAUCAAGUCCUCUCUAUAGGAGAGUAUCAUUUUGCAUGAACACCAUCAAUAAAUGGGAAUGCCUAUUUUCUCACAGACUAUGUAAUUGGUGAGAAGAGAUAUUUCAUUAUAGUUAUUUUUCCUGACAGCACUUACCAUACGUUAGGUUGAGCAUUUUUCUUGUGUUUAAGGAUGAUUUUUUGGUAAAAUAUUUCCUUGUAUUUAUUGCCCCUUUUUAUCUCAGGUUGUUGGGUUUUGCAUUCACUUUUUCAUAAGAUUUCUACAUAUUAGGGAUAUAACCCUUUGUUUUUUAUCUAAGUUGUAAAUAUUUUUUCUAAUUUUUAAUUUUAAUUUGCUU